CGGCAACAGCUCAAAUUUGAAAUCUGGCCCUUUGGGCUCGAGUUGUAAUUUGUAGAGGAUGUUUCGGGUAAGGUCUAGGUCUAAGUUCCUUGGAACAGGAUGUCAUAGAGGGUGAGAAUCCCGUACGUGGCCGAUGACCGCGCCCAUGUGAAACUCCUUCGAC
rnacentral:rRNA from 1 species